GUGCUCGCUUUGGCAACUCAGGUACUAAAGUUGGAACAGGUCACAGAUCACCAUGGCGCCCGUACAAGGAUGACACGCAAAUUCAUGAAGCGUUCCACACAUUU
ensembl:snRNA U6 U6 spliceosomal RNA